rnacentral:lncRNA from 1 species
CUGACUUUGUGUCUACACGUGCUGGCUAUUUGUUUGAAUUCCUCUUUGGUGGUUUCCCCCUUUUCCAUUUUUGUACACAUCCUUUUUAAUCUUAACUCAGUUAAAAGUUCUUUAGAUAGCCACCCUGGCUUCUUUAGGCACCUUCCAUGUUUCUGUCUCAUUGGUAUUGCCUGACGUUGUGCUUUUAGUAUCUCCCUCUUAACAAACUCCCAGCCAUCAUGAACUCCCUUUCCUUUUAGUAUUACUGUCCAUGGGAUCUCACCCAGCGCUUCCCUAAGUUUUAUGAAGUCAGCUUUCUUAAAGUCAAGAAAUUGAGUCCUAGUAUGCUUGGCUGCUCCUUUCCGCUGUAUAGUAAACUUCAGAAGAGCAUGAUCACUCGCGCCUAAUGAUCCUUCCACUUCUACCCCACUAACCAGGUCAUCAACAUUGGUUAGGACCAGAUCUAAAAUGGCUGUUCCUCUUGUGACUCUCAAGGGGUGUUGAGAGCAGUGUGUAGUCCAGGGGUCAGCAAGUCUUACCGGCCAUGGGCUGGAUCACUCCCACAGAGAUCGUCCGUAGGCCAGACCGACGCAGCGUGACGCCGGAAGUCGCGUCUGCGCAUGUCCGCGGUGCCGGAAAUUGCUUCUGCGCAUGCCCAUACGCCAGUGCAGACAUGAUUUUUGGCCUCUGGACAUGCACAGAAGUGAUUUCCAGUAUCUGCAUAUGCGCAGAUGUGAUUUCCGGCGCCGCUCGGCGAGUUCCUGUGGCACGCUGAGCCGGUUUAGUACAGCACACGGGGGACUCGCUGUGCGGGCAGCUCGGUUUGCAGGCAACUCAUGGUCCGGUAAAACAAUCUUCUUGGGCCAUAUCCGGCCCAUGGGCCGUACAUUGCCGACCCCUGGUGUAGUCCCUGACCCUCCCAAGUGUCCCCAUUUUACAGGGACAGUCCCAGAUUUACAGAAACUGUCCCAGUUUCUGAUUGGAUCCCAGAAUGUCCCGCUUUCCCUAGGACGUCCCUAUUUUCAUUGGAUAAACGUCAGAGGGUAUGGAUACAGGUAGGUAGCGUGUUGGUCUGCUGUAGUCAAAACAAAAUAAAAAAAUUCCUUCCAGUAGCACCUUAGAGACCAACUAAGUUUGUUAUUGGUAUGAGCUUUCGUGUAAAUGCACACUUCUUCAGAUACACUGAAACAGAAGUCACCAGACCCUUAUAUAGAGGGUAUGGAGUUAUUCAACCCCCAAGCCAAGGAGAUAAGUAACUAUACAAUCUUUAGAAGACGUCUGAAGGCAGCUCUGUAUAGGGAAGUUUUUUUAAAUGUUUAAUGUUUUAUUAUGUUUUUAUAUAUGUUGGAAGCUGCCCAGAGUGGCUGGGGCAACCCAGUCAGAUGAGCAAGGUAUAAAUUAUUAUAAAUAUUAUCCCCAGGCAACAUGGCCAAUGUUCAGGGAUGCUGGGAGUUAGACUCCAAAGCAAAUGGAGGGUACAUGUUUGGGGAAAGGCUUAUAUCAAGUAGGCAGUAUGGAGAAUUUACUUAUAGCAGUGAUAUCUGUGACGCAGGCAAAUGUAUUUCCCGCCUGUGUCACUUUUGCAUGUUUUUACCCACAAUUCCGUCCCUUUUCUAUGUCACCCUGCAAAUUUUUGAAAAGCAUUUCUCUAAUUUAAAUAGCUUUUGUCAAGGGCAGAUAUUUAAACAUCCCCAGAAAGAAUAGACAUUGUGGAUGUUCUUUGAAUGUGCUGGACACUGUAGAACAUAUUCUUUUCUACUGUUCAUUGUAGAACCAGCUACGCAAACGCAUACUAUCCCCUUUUUUGGGUAGUCUAACACUGCGGGAAAAUGAAAAUAACCAGAUUCUAUCUGAUGUAACUGGGUGGCUGGGUUUUUGUCAAUAGUAUCCCUUAGAGAGCCAAUGGCACUAUUUAGCGGGAAGAAAUCCCAAUGAAAAUCCUCGUCAUUAUAUAUUUUACAUGGCUGUUUAUUGUAUAUAUUUUACAAUGUUAUAUAUGGAUGUUUUAUGAUGUUUUAUGAUGGCCUCUAGUUGUAAUGCCUAAAAAAGGUUUGGCGAAGUAUUUCCAACCUGUGUCACUUUUGCAUUUUUAUUGCAUGUAUAUAUUGUGGUUUUAUAUUUUGAUUUUGUUCUGUGAACCGCCCUGAGACCUCUGGGUGUAGGGCAGUAUAUAAAUUCAAUAAAUAAAUAAAUAUAUUUUACCCCCAGUCCUGUCCCUUUUCUAUGUCGCUCUGUAAAUUUUUAAAAAAGCAUUCCUCUCACAAUACAAAUUUAAAUAGGCAUUUAAAAAUAUAUUUAUUUUUCCCCACUUUUAAAUUACUGAAAACUGUAUCUAAAUCAAUGGCCUAACUUUAACAUAAAAAAAAAACCAGUUGUAAUGUAUGGGUGUCAUAAGAAGGUGACACAGCCUUGACACUUACCAAUGACUGAAGCAGAAAGAAGGUUUCCCCUAUGCUCACCAAAGUAUUUGAGUCUGGAGAGAGAAGAUUUAUUUAUUUCCUAAAAUCUAUAUACUGCUUGAUUGUUUUACAGCAUUAUUUUACCCCAACAGACGAUUCUGAUCUUCCCCCUCUUACUUUUUCUUUCUGUCACAAGUCUGCCCUUAACGUUAAUUUCCCCUCAGGAUCAAAAGUGUCACGUCCCCCACCUUCUCGUUGUUUCCUUAUUCGUAAUCAAACGGGAGACCCGCACAUUCAAAUGCUGAUAAUAAAUAGGCGAUAAAUUAUUAACAGUAGCAAGCUUGAGGGAAACGAGAUGAAAGCUGACAGAUGUUUCUCUGAAAAGCAGCAAAUGUAACUGACCAGGCCUGCGAGAGAAUUGUAGAAUACUAUCUUGUGUGAAGAACGUGCCUCACAGAAGCAGGAUGGAAUAUACACAUAUAUUUUAAUGGACAGAUAAAUUUAAAUUAUGUUUGUUACUGUGAGGCCAUUUGGAGGAUCAGAUCUCAGGUCUUUACUGUGAAUGCCCUACCCUCCAACAUUUCUCUGAUGGGGACAUUUUGGGAUCAAAUUUGGGUGGCUUCUGUAAAUCUGGGACCGUCCCUGGAAAAUAGGGACACUUGGAGGGUCUGAAAUGGCGGAAGGAGCAGUUUCCACAAAACCAUUGGCCUUUCCAUUCGUUCUGAAGCCUGAGCCAAGGUGGAGGGAGAGAGCUUAGUUUUGAAACACAAGCUCAGGCUAUGACACAAAAAUAAAUCUCUGCAUAAUGACAGCGUCUAAUGGAAGAGGUUCCCAACACUGUUAAUGAGAGCUCAGAGAUAGGAGCGAAGCUAUAAAUAUUUUAAAAUAAUUAAAAUAGAUUGCCAUUGCUGGGCCCCGAGGAAGCGUGGGGCUGCUGAACUGUCAGCUGUGGUGCUGAGGGAAAUUGUUUUCUGAAGAAAUGAAUAAAUGGAAGCACUUAAGUAAUAAGAUUUUGUAUUUGCCAAUCCUCCCACCAAGAGAGCAAGUGGGGGGAAACAAAAUCUUUGAAAUGAUGAAAGGAACAUAGGCCAUGCAGCUAGCAUCAACACUAAGCUCUCUCUGUGGCUGUGCAGAGCCAUAACAUUUUUUUUUAUCUAAUAACAAGAACACCCAGGGCUUGUUUUCAGCUGGAACUCUCCGGAACUCAGCUCUGGCACCUCUCAGGGGGGCAUCAUUGCCAUUACAAGAAGGGUUCAUGGUGAAUCCCUGCACCACUUUUCCUAGUAAAAUAGCACUAAGAGCACCUUAUUUUACUAUGCCAGUGUCUUGGCCCUAGAUAAAGGGCUCUAACUCCCAGGCUGGUUUCUGCCAAAGUCUUUAAUGCAUAAUUCAAAGGGAUACAAAGGCAAUACGCAGGUUACAAGGUGGAACAGAUACAUAAGAGGUAUAGACACAUGGCUAAGUGUAACAUGGCUAGUCCACAACACUGUCCUCUGUGGCCAAUCAGAUGCCCAUGGGAAUCUCACAAUAAGAUCUGGAGCCCAACCGCACUCUCCUCACCUGUGAUACCAGGAACAGGUAUUCAGAGACGUGCUUUCUCCAAAGUUGUAAGUAGGGGUCAUUCCACGCCAAAUCACCUGGUGCCAUGUGCUCUCACAACUCAGAUUUUCUUCAAAAUAAUAAUAAUUAUGUCUAGAUACCUAUGAGAUUUUUUUUUUAGAUUUUUGGGUCCGAAAUUGGGCGCAGGAGAAAUUUUUCAAAAUUUCAAUUUUCACACCAUUUAGGCUAAUGCAAUUUCUGCACCAGUUUAGGGGGAAAAACACAGCUCCUGAUUCACUUAUUUUUCAACCAAUUGGGCUUAAUUUGGUAUCAAAAUAAAGAGACAAAAAAAAACCUUUUCAAAUUAAUUUGAGGUUAGCUCAUAGGUAGGUAAAGGUAAAGAGACCCCUGACAGUUAAGUCCAGUCGCAAACAACUCUGGGGUUGCAGCGCUCAUCUCACUUU